GUAGGGGGCAAGCGUUGUCCGGAUUUAUUGGGCGUAAAGAGCGUGUAGGCGGCCAGAUAGGUCAGCUGUGAAAACUCGAGGCUCAACCUCGAGAUGUCGGCUGAAACCAUUUGGCUAGAGUCCGGAAGAGGAGAAUGGAAUUCCCGGUGUAGCGGUGAAAUGCGCAGAUAUCGGGAAGAACACCCGUGGCGAAGGCGGUUCUCUGGGACGGUACUGACGCUGAGACGCGAAAGCGUGGGGAGCGAACAGGAUUAGAUACCCUGGUAGUCCACGCCGUAAACGAUGGGAACUAGGUGUGGGCGGUGUCGACUCCGUCCGUGCCGAAGCUAACGCAUUAAGUUCCCCGCCUGGGGAGUACGGCCGCAAGGCUAAA
rnacentral:rRNA from 1 species